rnacentral:lncRNA from 1 species
UAGAAUACUUAGGCGGAGAGUGACUGUAAAUGCUUAACCUUUGUCAAUGGCAGACAUUCAAGAUAGUUUGGCUGCCUCCUUCUAUUUCCUUGUGGACACUGAUUUAAGAGUCCAUCCAAAACAUUCAGGAGGAUAUGACUAACAUGAAAAUCUGUCACUGUAUAAACACAGUGACCAAAACCUAUUUGGCAGCACUUUAGAUCUGCUGGCUAAUAAUUAGUGAUUCAGCAUAAUUACACGGGAGAUAAAGAACAUCUAAGGAAAAAAAAAAAAAAAACUUAUUUCAGUAACGAAUGCAAAAUUUCAGUCGGGGCACAUUAGCAAUGACAUGCUGAGCUCACAUGAGAAGAACAACGCCUGAAUUUACUGGAAACAUUGCAGUAAGGUUUCAGGGUAUGCUGUCUUUCCAGAAAACUGCAACAAGAAGCACUGCAGUUAAAAUCUGCUUAUUUUUGAUGUUCACUAAAUUCACAGAAGGUAUGUUAUGUGGUAUUCCUUCCAUCUCAAAAACUCUUUUUUGGGUCAUUGACACAUGCCACUGACCUAGCUUACACAUAUUUUGUGGUUUUGCUCUGUGAAAAGGAAGUAUUAAGCUCUAAGCUACUGUAAUAAAUUUGUUUGGGUUUGAUAGAGAUUGACUGCC